rnacentral:rRNA from 1 species
GGCUGGAGUAUUUUAUUACCCUUGUCUUUUGCCCACUUGUUGUUUCCUGGGCGGGUUCGCCCGCCUCCAGGACCACAUGAUAAACCUUUUUUAUGCAGUUGCAAUCAGCGUCAGUACAACAAAUGUAAAUCAUUUACAACUUUCAACAACGGAUCUCUUGGUUCUGGCAUCGAUGAAGAACGCAGCGAAAUGCGAUACGUAGUGUGAAUUGCAGAAUUCAGUGAAUCAUCGAAUCUUUGAACGCACAUUGCGCCCUUUGGUAUUCCAAAGGGCAUGCCUGUUCGAGCGUCAUUUGUACCCUCAAGCUUUGCUUGGUGUUGGGCGUUUUUUGUCUUUGGUUUUGUCCAAAGACUCGCCUUAAAACGAUUGGCAGCCGGCCUACUGGUUUCGCAGCGCAGCACAUUUUUGCGCUUGCAAUCAGCAAAAGAGGACGGCACUCCAUCAAGACUCUAUAUCACUUUUGACCUCGGAUCAGGUAGGGAUACCCGCUGAACUUAAGCAUAUCAAUAAGCGGAGGA